rnacentral:rRNA from 1 species
UACGAAGGGGGCAAGCGUUGUUCGGAAUUACUGGGCGUAAAGGGCGCGUAGGCGGCUUAUCAAGUCAGGCGUGAAAUUCCCGGGCUCAACCUGGGGGCUGCGCUUGAUACUGAUUGGCUUGAAUGCGGGAGAGGAUAGUGGAAUUCCCAGUGUAGAGGUGAAAUUCGUAGAUAUUGGGAAGAACACCGGUGGCGAAGGCGGCUAUCGUGGCCCGUAAUUGACGCUGAGGCGCGAA